rnacentral:rRNA from 1 species
GUACACGCUGUGACUAGCAUAUCAAUAAGCGGAGGAAAAGAAACUAACAAGGAUUCCCUCAGUAACGGCGAGUGAAGCGGGAAGAGCUCAAAUUUGAAAUCUUGAAAGGUCACCUUUCACGAAUUGUAGUUUAAAGAAGUGUUUUCUGUUACGAUCGUAAUAUAAGUUCUUUGGAAUAGGACAUCACAGAGGGUGAGAAUCCCGUCUAUGAUUGCGAUUUGUAGCUUUGUGAUACACUUUCAAAGAGUCGGGUUGUUUGGGAAUGCAGCCCAAAACGGGAGGUAAAUUUCUUCUAAGGCUAAAUAUUGGCGAGAGACCGAUAGCGAACAAGUACCGUGAGGGAAAGAUGAAAAGAACUUUGAAAAGAGAGUUAAACAGUACGUGAAAUUGUCAAAAGGGAAGCGUUUGACACCAGUGUUGUUUUCUCGAAAAUCAAUUAAAAAAAGUUGGAUUUUGUGUUGUAUUGACCUUAACAGCUUUCUUCACUCUUUUCCUGCUUUUUUUAAUGCACUUUUCGUUUAACAAGUCAACAUCAGUUUCUUUUGUUGUAAAAGGGUCAUUGGAAGGUGGCUUUCUUUUCGGAGAAAGUGUUUAUAGCCUUUGGCCUCUGCAAUCGGAGAGACUGAGGUCUGCAGCGUAGACUCUUCGGGGUUAGAUACAUUUGUGCUAAGUUAUAGCUUUUUAUAGACAACUUGUUGACUAUAAUUAGUCUUGUAGCUUACUCGCUUAUGCUAUUUUACCUACGCUUAGGAUGUUGAACUACUGAGACAUAGA